GGAGGAUUAGCGAAGUGGCCAAACGCGGCAGACUGUAAAUCUGUUCCUUCGGGUUCGGUGGUUCAAAUCCAUCAUCCUCCA
rnacentral:tRNA from 1 species